UUUGCUUAAAUCAGAUCAUAAAAUCAAAGCAAGCUUAAUUACAUAACAAUUAUUCUUUUGCUCUUAAUUCUUUAUCUUCAAAAGUAAAAUGAAAAGACUUACAUGCUUAAAUUAUGAUUCUACAAUCUACAUGUUCAUACUCGGAAACAAUUUUGGAGAAUGCAAACCACACAGGAGUAUGGGAUUGCUAUGUGUAUUGUGAGCUUUAAUACAACCACCCAGUUUGCACAACCAUUUCUGUGUAUCAAACACAUGAUUGUGACUGCUCCUUAGUUAUUUGACAUCUAUACAUGAUUGCAUCCCCUCUUGCAAAGGACUAAACAAUUAGAGAUUCUACAGAAUAUAAAUCCCUAAAGUGUAACAUCAGCUGGUCAACAAUAUGAUCCAAACAAGCCUUGGUAAAUGACUCGCCAAUACCCAAUAGCCAGAGGUAUUUAAAAGCAUCAAGGCCAAGCUGCACUUAAGCUGCAAAAUGAAUGGGCAGUCACAACUCAUAAUACGCAAUCAUGCCAGAAGAUUCCUUAGAAACAGUUACAGUAUUUAUAUCUGCUGCAAAGAUGUUCACCAUGUUGAAUAUGGUUGGCUUACAAAUAGGCUCAUAGUAGAGGCAAUACAAACCGCAUGGCAAAUUAGGAAUAGACGCAAAUAAUUAUAAAACUAGAACAACCUUGUAGCAGCUAAAGAGGUUUGAAAAAACUAAUGGGCAGGAGAGUUAGAUAGGCAUGUCAUCAUCAUCUAACUCAACAACCAUUUAAUAAAAGGAGGGAAAGGAAAGCAAAAGAGAACCUAACAACCUCACUACAUAGUGGUUCCAAGUUCAGACUCUCCACAGUGAUUUCUCUUCUCUGCUUAACUUUUUUAUCUUGAAUUGAGCUCUCAUAUGUAGAGUUUCUUCCUGCAAAGGG
rnacentral:misc_RNA from 1 species